GACGAACGCUGGCGGCGUGCUUAACACAUGCAAGUCGAACGGAAAGGCCCUGCUUUUGUGGGGUGCUCGAGUGGCGAACGGGUGAGUAACACGUGAGUAACCUGCCCUUGACUUUGGGAUAACUUCAGGAAACUGGGGCUAAUACCGGAUAGGAGCUCCUGCUGCAUGGUGGGGGUUGGAAAGUUUCGGCGGUUGGGGAUGGACUCGCGGCUUAUCAGCUUGUUGGUGGGGUAGUGGCUUACCAAGGCUUUGACGGGUAGCCGGCCUGAGAGGGUGACCGGCCACAUUGGGACUGAGAUACGGCCCAGACUCCUACGGGAGGCAGCAGGGGGGAAUAUUGCACAAUGGGCGGAAGCCUGAUGCAGCAACGCCGCGUGCGGGAUGACGGCCUUCGGGUUGUAAACCGCUUUCGCCUGUGACGAAGCGUGAGUGACGGUAAUGGGUAAAGAAGCACCGGCUAACUACGGG
rnacentral:rRNA from 1 species